rnacentral:lncRNA from 1 species
GAGUCGCACAUGCGCAGUGUGAAGCCGGCGCGCCGCGGUUUCUGCGCCGAGCGCCUGCGCAGGGGGUGGGUUUCUGCCCCAAGGCGGAGGCUGGUCCAGGAACGGUUGCUGAUGGAGAGCCGGGGAGUGAUCCUUCGCUGGAAAACGGUGACCCCUAAGGUUAAGGAUCUAACAGCACUCGGAGGAAAGAGAGAGAGCCUCAAUCCACUGUCUUUGUGUGGGAAAAAAAAGAAAAAAUCCGGAAGGCAGAGAGGAGGAAAUACAGUGUGAAUCCGGGUCCUGAAGUCUUUGUUAACAGUGUGGCUACUGAUGGAAAAUGACUUCCUGGUCGCAUGUGCCAGAGGGCUGAGGGUUCCUGCAGAUGUUCCACACAGGGGCGUCCGAGGUUCCCCAGAACAGACAGCUAGAGGUCGAAACCAGGGCACAACGAAAUUGCUCCUACACAGAAUCGCUGAGGUCUGCAAGGGAGAAGUUGCAGCAGCAGUGGCUGAAGCGAGAGCUGUGUCUGAUGAGACUGGAAGUGGUUCACCAUCCAGACCUGUGAAGGGGUGCAUUUUACCUACUUCCGUGCUAAAAGCUGGGCUGUCGCAGGUUCAUGGAAGCAGGCAGAAGACAUGAGACGGCUGGGUCGGAGACAAAGGAUUUCAUUACCUACGGCACAGCCAGCCUGAGCUGCAGGUUCCUGCUUCCCCAAGUCCCACAGGGACAACAAAGAGGUGGGUUCAAGGGCGUGUGGCACACACAGUGUGAGAACAGCUGAGGAGUUUGAGCCCAAGAAUCUUCCUCUCUCUCUCUCUUUCUUUCUCUCUCUCUUUCUUUCUUUCUUUUUUCUUUCUCUUUCUUCCUUUAUCUCUCUCUCUCUCUCUCUUUCUUUCUUUCUUUCUUUCCUUCCUUCCUUCCUUCCUUCCUUCCUUUAUCUCUCUCUUUCUUUCUUUCUUUCUUUAUCUCUCUCUUUCUUUCUUUCUUUUCUUUUCUUCCUUCCUCUUUCUCUUUCUUUCUUUCUUUUUCUUUCUUUCUUUCCUUCCUUCCUUCCUUCAUCUCUCUCUCUCUCUUUCUUUCUUUUCUUUCUUUCUUUCUUUCUUUCUUACUUUCUUUCUUUCUUUCUGUGUGUGAUGGCCACAAGCAAACCUGCUCAAGCAUUUCCCUGGUAAAAGACAUUAUCUUUAUUAAUGCUCAGAAAACAACCCCCCCAAAAAAACAACAAAAACAAAAACAAAAAACCUGCCCUCCUCUCCAGAGAAAAAUACUUCCAAAGCUGUGUGCUAGAUAAAUACCCUUAAAAAAUAGUCUAGAACUACUCAGUGAUUCUACUCACGAGAUAUAAACGAAAGUGAGAGAUCAGCAGAAAAUUAUCUCCCUACAUGGACUAGAGGCGUUCCAUACAUAGGAUGUUUAGCAGGUAAGUAACAGCAACGUUGAGAGUCUUUAGAGACUGGUCACUUCACUUAAUGAGAUAAUCUCUGCUGAGCCUCUUGUUCCCGGGUUGGUUGGGAAAUUUCACACAAGUAUCUGAGCUAAACUAGGAAACACCUUCGACGUUCUGUGGGUCUUCUGUGACCCUUACUCACUCCCACACAUUACUGUCACGACUGCUUGAACUUAUGUCAUAUUGCCAGUUGGUCCCACGCUCCCUGGAUCCAACUGAGCUGAUGGAUAUUAGUAUUUCACACCAAAGUGGGAAAUCUUCAGUGUUUGAGUAGCACUAAAGAGCAGAAGGUACGUCGAUUUUGGCAAAAUUAUUGAUGGUUAAAGUAUUUGAACAAUCUGUUUUAUACAACCUCCAAGCUGGAACUAAUUUUCUCUCUGGAGUAACUGGGACAGGAACGAGAGCUUACUCAUUUUCAUGUCACUGACACCUCGCACAAUAUCUGGCAUGUAACAGAUAUUCAAAAAGAUAGUUGCUGGAGUUCCCUUUGUGGCACAGCAGGAAACGGAUUAGUAUCCAUGAGGAUGCGGUUUGAUCCCUGGCCUCGCUCAGUGGGUUGGGGAUUCAGCGUUGCCGUGAGCUGUGGUGUAGGUCGCAGAAGUGGCUCAGAUCCCGCGUUGCUGUGGCUGUGGCAUAGACUGGCAGCUGGAGCUCCAAUUAGACCCCUAGCCUGGGACCCUCCACAUGCCCCCGGGGGCGGCCCUAAAAAAGCAAAACAACAAGAACAAAACAAAACAAACAAAAGACCUUUUACUUCAUCCCAUCUGCAAAGUUUCUUUGGCCAUCUAAGGUGACAUAUUCCCAGGUUUCAGGGAUUAGGGCAUGGAGAUCUUUGAGGGGCCAUUAUUCUAUCCGCCCGCCACACAAAGUAAUAGAAUUAGAAUGGGGAUUAAACGAGAGAAUACACGUAAAAUGUGAGGUUUGAUAAAAUACUAUCAUUAAGCCUCUGAAUUUGAAAGUCGUAAGCCAAGAAUUUUUGUCUGUGGCCUGCUGUGUCCUCUUUUCUUUGAGGUGAUGUCUGCCUGGAUUCUGUCUGCCACCUGUGCAAAGAGAAGGGCUAGGGGGUGGGAGGAAAGGUGGAGGGAAAAAAAUGCAAAGAUUCACUCCAGGCACAUCUGCAGACAUUUGUAUCUGAGCCCAAAUGCAAUGACGUGUAUUCACCAUCGAACUGAUUGGCUUCCAUGUCCACUCCUCGAAUAAUACGUUUUCCUAACGUUAGAACCUUCCAGUUUAGAUCCUGUUGGCUGGGUGAGUGUGAGGUCAUCUGGGACCCUGUCCUGGCUUUUCUUUGCGUUCUUUUCCUCUUCCUUUCCUUCUCACUAAAGUUCCUGAGAAGGUAUGGG